UACGAAGGGGGCUAGCGUUGCUCGGAAUCACUGGGCGUAAAGGGUGCGUAGGCGGGUCUUUAAGUCAGGGGUGAAAUCCUGGAGCUCAACUCCAGAACUGCCUUUGAUACUGAGGAUCUUGAGUUCGGGAGAGGUGAGUGGAACUGCGAGUGUAGAGGUGGAAUGCGUAGAGAUCCCCAAGAACACCAGUUGCGAAGGCGGCUGACUGGACACAUAUUGAUGCUGAGGCUCGAAAGCAUGGGGAGCAAACAGG
rnacentral:rRNA from 1 species